GUAAUUCGGCUGAUCUAAGUUCUAAUUACAACUAAUUGACUCCGGAAGCGAGCAAUUCAGAUACGUAGCAACAUUAGAACCAUCAUCGCCACAAAUUCCAGAGCUCCCCGACUCCAGUGAAGCAGAAUUCGCCUGAUGCGCAGUGAAAUCAGCAAUAUGACCAUCAGAAGAACCCGGUUGCGGAGAAACAUCAAGGUGGCUUAUAUCAAUGGCAGGGUUGGGGAUAGAGAAGUGCUCGUUCUCGGAGGGAAAGUAGAAGCUGUCGUGAUCGUCAAAGGUGAUGUCGAAAUCGUAAUCAUCGUCAAGGGAUAGGGGUAGAUCCGAGAUGAAGUUUUCUCCUGCAAUGGUUGUGGAUAAGGAAUUUUGUGCAGAGAGGAACAUGGGAUCGAGGGGCGGGAUUGGGAGGGAAUCAAAAUCAUCCAUGGAAUUAUUAGAAUCCGCCACUGGUGGCGGUGGGUGAUGGGCGGUGAUAGCGUCGCCCAUUGCAGAGGUGGUUAUUGGUAAGGGUUUGAGAAGCGGAGGGUUUUCAAGAGGAAGACUGCUGGAGUCAUCUAGAGGAUGGUUUCGAACAAGGAAAAUCAGAGCAUUUGUUGUAAUUUCGU
rnacentral:misc_RNA from 1 species